rnacentral:piRNA from 2 species
UUGAAGAAAGGUCAGAAGCUCAAUGG